rnacentral:lncRNA from 1 species
AGGUGCUGAAAUCAGAGUGAGAAAAGCAUCAAGUUUUAGGGUUUGAGGCUUGUGGACUGCAUCUUGGGUUGCCCUUGUAGCAGCUUGCCCAGGCAAGCACCAGGUUUUAGGGUUCAGUUUUAGGGUUUUGGGUCCUUGCCCAUCAGUGAGGCAGUAUUUGCAGAAGGUACUAACAGGAGGUGGGUUUUGAAUAGUCUUUGAAUAAGUGAAUUGGAUACUUUAAGUGCUCUCACAUUUGUUGA